rnacentral:rRNA from 1 species
GACGAACGCUGGCGGCGUGCUUAACACAUGCAAGUCGAACGGAAAGGCCCUGCUUUUGUGGGGUGCUCGAGUGGCGAACGGGUGAGUAACACGUGAGUAACCUGCCCUUGACUUUGGGAUAACUUCAGGAAACUGGGGCUAAUACCGGAUAGGAGCUCCUGCUGCAUGGUGGGGGUUGGAAAGUUUCGGCGGUUGGGGAUGGACUCGCGGCUUAUCAGCUUGUUGGUGGGGUAGUGGCUUACCAAGGCUUGGACGGGUAGCCGGCCUGAGAGGGUGACCGGCCACACUGGGACUGAGAUACGGCCCAGCCUCCUACGGGAGGCAACGGUGGAGAGUAUUGCACAAUAGGCGGGAGCCUGAUGCGGCAACGCCGCGUGCGGUAUGACAGCCUUCGGGUUGUGAACCACUUUCGCCUGUGACGAGGCGUUAGUGACGGUAAUGGGUAAAGAAGCACCGGCUAACUACGUG